rnacentral:rRNA from 1 species
UAGAGAGAGACAUGCGCGCAUAUCAAUAAGCGGAGGAAAAGAAACUAACAAGGAUUCCCCUAGUAACGGCGAGUGAAGCGGGAAGAGCUCAAAUUUGAAAUCUUAAAGGGUUUCCCUUUACGAAUUGUAGUUUAAAGAAAUGUUUUCUGUUGAGGUUUUGGUAAAAGUUCUUUGGAAUAGGACAUCAUAGAGGGUGAGAAUCCCGUAUUUGACCUUUACUUUCAACUUUGUGAUACACUUUCAAAGAGUCGGAUUGUUUGGGAAUGCAGUCCAAAAUGGGUGGUAAAUUUCAUCUAAAGCUAAAUAUUGGCGAGAGACCGAUAGCGAACAAGUACCGUGAGGGAAAGAUGAAAAGAACUUUGAAAAGAGAGUUAAACAGUACGUGAAAUUGUCAAAAGGGAAGCGUUUGACACCAGUGUUGUUUUUCUGAAAAUCAAUUAAAGAACUGUUUAUGCUAAGUUGUUUAGACUUUAUCAGCUAACUGUUUAGUUUUGAGCUUUUCUUUAAUGCACUUUUCAGUUAACAAGUCAACAUCAAUUUCUUUUGCUGUAAAAAAGCUUGAGGAAGGUGGCUUGAGAUUCGUCUUAAGUGUUUAUAGCCUCUUGCCUAUGCAGUCGGAGAGAUUGAGGUCUGCAGCGUAGAUCCUUCGGGGCUAAAUGCAUUUGUGCUAAGUUAUAGCAUUUUAUAGACAACUUGUUGACUAUGAUUUGUCUUGUAGCUUACUCGCUUAUGUUAUUUUACCUACGCUUAGGAUGUUGAGCGCAUGUCUCUCUCU